UAGGGAAUCUUCCGCAAUGGGCGAAAGCCUGACGGAGCAACGCCGCGUGUGUGAUGAAGGUCUUCGGAUCGUAAAACUCUGUUAUUAGGGAAGAACAAAUGUGUAAGUAACUAUGCACGUCUUGACGGUACCUAAUCAGAAAGCCACGGCUAACUACGUGCCAGCAGCCGCGGUAAUACGUAGGUGGCAAGCGUUAUCCGGAAUUAUUGGGCGUAAAGCGCGCGUAGGCGGUUUUUUAAGUCUGAUGUGAAAGCCCACGGCUCAACCGUGGAGGGUCAUUGGAAACUGGAAAACUUGAGUGCAGAAGAGGAAAGUGGAAUUCCAUGUGUAGCGGUGAAAUGCGCAGAGAUAUGGAGGAACACCAGUGGCGAAGGCGACUUUCUGGUCUGUAACUGACGCUGAUGUGCGAAAGCGUGGGGAUCAAACAGG
rnacentral:rRNA from 2 species